ACACUCCUACGGGAGGCAGCAGUGGGGAAUUUUGGACAAUGGGCGCAAGCCUGAUCCAGCCAUGCCGCGUACGGGAAGAAGGCCUUCGGGUUGUAAACCGCUUUUGUCAGGGAAGAAAAGGUUCUGGCUAAUACCUGGGACUCAUGACGGUACCUGAAGAAUAAGCACCGGCUAACUACGUGCCAGCAGCCGCGGUAAUACGUAGGGUGCAAGCGUUAAUCGGAAUUACUGGGCGUAAAGCGUGCGCAGGCGGUUAUGCAAGACAGAGGUGAAAUCCCCGGGCUCAACCUGGGAACUGCCUUUGUGACUGCAUGGCUAGAGUACGGUAGAGGGGGAUGGAAUUCCGCGUGUAGCAGUGAAAUGCGUAGAUAUGCGGAGGAACACCGAUGGCGAAGGCAAUCCCCUGGACCUGUACUGACGCUCAUGCACGAAAGCGUGGGGAGCAAACAGGAUUAGAUACCCUAGUAGUCCCAUG
rnacentral:rRNA from 1 species